UACCCGCAGCACAAGUGGUGGUCAUUAUUAUUGGGCCUAAAGCGUCCGUAGCUGGCGUGUUAGAUGCCUGGGUAAAUCGAUGCGCUCAACGCAUCGAAUUCCGGGUAGACCGGCACGCUCGAGACCGGGAGAGGUGUGGGGUACUCGGGGGGUAGGGGUAAAAUCCUGUAAUCCUCCGGGGACGACCAGUGGCGAAGGCGCCACACUAGAACGGCUCUGACAGUGAGGGACGAAGCCCUGGGGCGCAAACCGG
rnacentral:rRNA from 1 species